rnacentral:rRNA from 1 species
UACGUAGGGGGCAAGCGUUGUCCGGAAUCAUUGGGCGUAAAGCGCGCGUAGGCGGCCCGGUAAGUCCGCUGUAAAAGUCCAGGGCUCAACCCUGGAAAGCCGGUGGAUACUGUCGGGCUAGAGUCCGGAAGAGGCGAGUGGAAUUCCUGGGUGUAGCGGUGGAAUGCGCAGAUAUCAGGAGGAACACCGAUGGCGAAGGCAGCUCGCUGGGACGGUACUGACGCUGAGGCGCGAAAGCGUGGGGAGCGAACAGG